CACGUAGGGCGCGAGCGUUGUCCGGAAUUAUUGGGCGUAAAGAGCUCGUAGGCGGCCUGUUGCGUCCGCUGUGAAAGCCCGGGGCUUAACCCCGGGUCGCAGUGGAUACGGGCAGGCUAGAGGUAGGUAGGGGAGAAUGGAAUUCCCGGUGUAGCGGUGAAAUGCGCAGAUAUCAGGAGGAACACCGGUGGCGAAGGCGGAUCUCUGGGCCAUUACUGACGCUGAGGAGCGAAAGUGUGGGGAGCGAACCGGG
rnacentral:rRNA from 1 species